UACGAGGGGAGCAAGCGUUGUUCGGAAUUAUUGGGCGUAAAGCGCGUGUAGGCGGUCCAACAAGUCUGGCGUGAAAGCCUUGAGCUCAACUCAAGAAGUGCGCUGGAAACUGUCGGACUUGAGUACUGGAGGGGGAGGUGGAAUUCUCGAGUGUAGAGGUGAAAUUCGUAGAUAUUCGGAAGAACAUCAGUGGCGAAGGCGACCUCCUGGACAGAUACUGACGCUGAGACGCGAAAGCGUGGGUAGCAAACAGG
rnacentral:rRNA from 1 species